GUAGUGUGAUAUGCAAACUGUUUUGGUAAAAUAUUGCAAAAUGUUAUAUUGAAAUUGUUUACUUGUUUAAAAUAAAUCUGCAGCAUCUGUGGGCUCCAUGGAGGAAGACCACACAUGCCCCAUGUGCCGUGACCUUUUUAGUCGAUCUCAACCCUUUCUCUGUGGCCACAGCUUUGCUUGGCAUGUGCGCAAGAGGCCUGGAGCCAGAGUAACGUCUGUGGCAAGCGAAGAUUUGUAUGCCCCCAGUGCCUGGAGGAGCAGAGAGUAGUGGUAUGUGUCUGCUGUCCGGAAGACGAGGGUAAUGCGGCCCAAGCUGCAGUGAAGACGUGCCUGCAAUGUGAGAUCUCCCUGUGUGAGCAGCAUCUGCAGCCACAUCUGCAGCGUCCUGUGUACAGCACUCACCUGUUGGUGGAGCCACUGAUGGAUGUAUCCCGCUGCAUGUGCCCUGCCCAUCUGGAGAUAUUCCGGUAUUACUGCAUGGAUGAUAGGGAAUAUGUCUGCCCAGAUUGCAUUUUGGAAGGACAGCAUGCUCAACACCAGGUCAAAGGGGUGAGAAAAGUGGAGGAGGAAUACAAAGUAAGUCAUAAUAUCUAUUGUUCUUUAAGAGAGAGUCGUGUUGUGGGAUUUAAUUAUUUUUCAGGACUGUUCACACUGAGCUUGGUUUAUUGUCCUCUUAUGUGGAGCAUUUACAUAGAGCACCAAUGGAAAAGUUGCACAAUGGAAUGCAAGAACUGUGUAAACUUCUGUGUCAAUGGCCCCUCAGUCUUGUAUUUUGAAUUCUUAAAAGAAGCAUGGGUUAAAAGGUACUCCUUCUCAUGGUGAUAAGAAGAAAAAGUCUUUAGUGACAAGCAACCAAGUUAUUCUAUUCACUUGUUUGUACCACAAUUUUAACAUUUACUGCACUUUAUGUACCUACAGCGGCUAAUGAAUCAGAAGUCUCACACAUUCACAGGAAAUAACUUAAACCACAUAAAAAAAAGUAAGAUGGAUAUACAGUGAAACCUAACCUGAAUACCCAGAAUUAAUUUUUGUAACUCAAAGUAAAGACUGAACAGUGUAAAACAUGGUAAAAGAUAACAAAGGAUUCUGUAAGCCCAUGGUUCAAAUUUAAAAAGCUCUUCUGUAAUGUGUAUAGGUCAAAUUACAGAGCCUGUUUGAGAAAGCAGAAGAGAAAGUAAAGCAAGGUGAAAAGAUGCUUCAAGAACAUCAGAAAGCUUGUCGCAGCAUCAUAGAGGACUAUUCUGUGAGUGAUGUCUCCCAGGUGUUACAGAUGGGUUCAGCCCUGCAGGCUCAGGUGGGCAGACUGGUGUCAGCCGUGAUAAAAAUCACGGAGCUGGAGAGACAGCAGGUCAUGGAGAGGGUGCAGGAAGAGUGCAGCAGAGUAAGAGAAGAUCUGAACCAGACUGAGAGCAUCCACCACUUAUUUGGCUCCCUGCUGGAUGAGACCCCUUCCUGCUAAUCUGGAUAUCCUGAAGCCUGACACAGCAGCAUGACCGGAAACUUGCUGCCUGGCAUAACCGAAAGAAAACCCACCUCUCCGCAAAAAUGUCUGGCAACCAUUUAGCAGUUACUCUGGACUAUGAUUCUGGCUCCAUCACCUUUUUAGAAGUAGGUUCUUCAUCCACCUAGCUCCCUCUGCACAAUUUCAGCACCAGAUUCACCCAGCCCGUCUGCCUAGGCUUUGGCCUCUACAAACCAGAGCUGAACAGCAGGGUCACCAUCCUCAAGAAAAUAUGAUGGCAUUUCCAUCUCGGCAUUUUACUGUAAUUUUAAGGGGAACUGAGAUCCAAUGCCUCUUUCUCCAAUAAUGGAUAUUCAAAAUUAGCUAAAUAUAUAUCUCAUAAUAUAUUGCCAGUGCCCUUUUUUGAAGGCUCUUAAAUGCAUAAAAGUGCAAUUUAAAUGCAUUUAAAAUAUUAAAUAUUUCCAAUGUCAGCAGCCUUUGUCAUCACAGCUCAGGAAAGACACUAUAGUGAAGGGUUUGGGAUUGUGAUGCACCAUCAGCCAAUCAGCACUGUCAACUGUUCCGUACAGUUUAUGUGAUUGGCUCAAAAAGUUCUGUGCUUCCGUGAAAAAAAAAAAAAAAAAAAUCAUGUACUGUCAAGUUGUCCUGCACCAGCUGAUAAACCACCAUUGAGAAGAAGCUUUCUCCUGUUAUUAUAGACCUCACUGUUGGCAGCCCUUCCUUCAACAUCUAGAUUCAGGUAUCCUUACUAAAGCAGUGCAGCCAUUACUUUGUUUUUAAAAUAAAUGCACAAUUUUAAAAAUAGCCCUUUAAUGGACUGGCCAUCCGUUCAGGGUUUUCCCGCCUUUGGCCCAAGAUGCUGGCAUAUGUUCCAGCAUGCCUGCGACAGAGGAUAAGCGGUUGGAGAACAAAUGGAAUGUUGAAAUUUGACAAAAUAUAAGCACAGUUCACUCUUCUUUAAUUUAUUGUUUUUAUUUCUUGUGAUGUUCAAAAAUAAAAAAGUACUU
ensembl:lncRNA